GCUUCACUAACCUUAUCUCUAUUUCUCUAACUAAUUCUAUCUUCAUUUUCACUCUUCAUUUUACAUUUCGGCAGGACAACUCUAAGGGAGAGAGCUCUUCCUUCUUCUUGCACCAUAGCUAUUAUUAACUUUCAAAAGGUUGUUCUUGGGUGAUUUUUUUUCCCUCUAUUUUUAGAGCUAUGUGGCCAGUGACUCUCUCAUCCAUUUUUUACGUUUUUUAUUUUGCGAUUUGUAUGAAACCAAUCACUUGUUUUUGGUGUGAACUGUAUAUAAAUUAAGCUUGGUCUACUACUCUGAACUUCUAGAGGGUCUUGCAGCAUGCACUUUGACGAUAUUUUGAUCUAUAUGUUCGUUCACGGACCACGGUCUUGCCACCCGUUGUAGAAACUUCAACUUUUUUUUGACAGUUGUAGUCUGUACGUACGUAGACAGAUUUUGUAGUUAAUUGAUCAGUUUGAACUCAACAAAUACUUCUGAAUUAAUUUCUCCUUGAAGAAAAUAACUUUGACAUUGGAAAGUACUCGUUGAUUAAGGAAAUAAACUAAUUAAUCAAUUAUAUAUAGUCAUAUGAAGUAUGAACUAACUUAAUUAGCUUCAUGGAUGAGUAUAUAUAAGCGCGCCGGCCCUAGGCAUAGGCGAGCCAGGCCUGUGCCUAGGGCCCCACUUUGAAAAGGUCCAAUAUUUUGAAAAAUAUAAUUUUUUUCUAUACAAAAAUAUUAUUUUAUAAUAAUUAUUAUAAAAAUACUAAAAAUUUAUUGGGCCCCCAAUCCUCACAGGCUGGCCUUUAGCUCAUGCAUUUGCCCCUGAUAAAAUAGAUAGUGUUUAGAUAGUUGUACUAUGUAGGCUUUGUUAGCUAAUUCAGUUUCCUAAUUAGUUUAGUGAGCUGUCAAAUAAACAAAUUCUGUUUUCUUUGUUUUUCAUUCUAUGUAAUAUUUCCAAGUCUAUAAAUACAAUUCUUUUCCUCUAGUCUUGUAACUUUUUGCAAGACUUCGAGGAAUCUUCUUUUCAAUUUUGCUCUUCAUAGAUCUUGUAUAGAUAAGUUCACAAAACCUUUUCAUGGUACCAGAGCCGUUGACGCAAGUCUUAUAUGGAUCAUCAAGUAGACCCAUCUGCCCCUACAGACGAUUCUCACGCGCCAUUGACGAAUCUUCCUCCCAAUCCAUCAUUUUCUUCCUCUACGAUGAAUGUUACUGCAUCUUCUUCCCCUUCCACAUCUUCUUCUCCGUGGAACCCCUUUCAAAAUUCCCUCAAUUCUUCCCUUACUGUCAAACUUGAUAGGUCUAAUUUUCUUGCGUGGAAAUCGCAAGUCAUCCCCACAGUUAUCGGCCAUGGCCUCGAUGAUAUCUUACUCACCGGUGUUGCUCCACCGAAGUUGCUCAUUGAUGGCACUCUCAAUCCUGAUUUCACCACUUGGAGACGCAAAGAUCAACUCUUGCUCAGCUGGUUAAGAUCUUCGAUGUCCGAACUUGUUCUUGGAUUCUUGGCUCAACAUUCCACUUCAUUUGCUGCGUGGAGAGCCCUUGAACAAAGGUUUUCUUCCCAGUCCAAAGCUCGGAUUCUCCAAAUCAAGUCCCAACUCUCUAUGAUCAAAAAGCGUAACCUCUCAAUCACAGACUACUAUGAUAAAGUUACAUCUUUGGAUGAUUCUUUAUCUACUGCUGGACAACCACUCUCUGAAAAUGACCUUGUUAUGCAUCUGUUAAAUGGUUUGGGUCUUGAGUUUGACCCUGUGGUUGUUCAUGUUACGAGCCUUGUUUAUGAUUUUUCUUUUGAGAAAAUCCAAUCUCUUUUGUAUUCUCAUGAAACACGACUUGAGAGACAUCUUUCUGUUAAUGAUAUUUCUGCCAAGAUUUCGGCCAAUGUGUCUCUUGGUCCUCCAAGAUUUGCUCAAUCAUCCACACAACCUCGUUCGUAUUCCAAUUCUGGCAGAUGCAACAAUAACUACCCUCGAUAUGGUGGAUGAUUUUCUAGUAGAGGUUCCCCAACUCUUAUGCGAUUACUCUGCCAAGUUUGUCACAAGAUCGACCAUUCUGCUGCAAUCUGUCAUUACAGAUAUGAUAAAACCUUUAUUACUCCUAAAGUUGGGGAUUCUCAACCCAAAGUCUAUGUCAUAGAGGUUGAUGCAAAUGGUCCACAAGCCUAUACCACCAUUACUGUUCCUGACUUUGGUGAUGACACUUAGUGGUAUGCUGACUCUGGAGCCACAAAUCACAUAGCUCUCGGUAUGGAGAACCUUGACUUUGCAGCACUCUAUGAAGGACAUGAAUCUCUAGCUGUUGGAAAUGGUAAGAAACUAGCCAUCACACAUGUUGGUACAACUUAUUUUCCCUCUACUUCUACCCAUUUAUAGCUUCAUUCUGUUAUAAAAGUACCUGAAAUUACCAAUUAGUGUUUCAAAACUAACCAAAGAUAACAAUGUUUUUAUGGAGUUUCAUGCUACUUGUUGUUUUGUAAAGGACAAACAAACAGGGAGAGUUGCUCAAAAGGAGAGUUAAUGACGACUUAUACAUUCUUUCCCAAAGGUCUCAACAAAAUUCUAGUCUCAAGCUCGAGUGCAAUUUAACCACUACUAAGUCUUUUCAAUGUAAUUGUACUCAUUCAUGUACAACUAAUUAUGCUAUAGUAGUAACCAAUUGUAAUACAUUUGAAACAAAUAAAGAAAUUGAUUCUUUUGUUGCUUGUAAAUCUUCUCCUUCUUUAUUUCUUUCUACUGUAAAUUCUGAUGUAAAUUCGUGGCAUUCAAAGUUAGGCCAUCCCGCUCAUCAUAUUUUGAGUAAAAAUUUGUCUAAAGUAAAGCACUCGAGUACUCUUAAAGACCUUUCCUUUUGUGAAGCUUGUCAAAAAGGAAAAAGCUAGACACUUCCCUACACUCCCUCCUAAAAGAGUGCAUCACAACCACUAAGUUUGAUUCAUACAGACCUAUGGGGUCCUUCUCAUGCCACAUCCAAAGAGGGAUUCAAAUAUUAUAUUCAUUUUGUUGUCCUUGGUUUUGAAGUCUCAAGCCUUUUCCACAUUUAUUCAAUUCAAGACCUUUGCUGAAAAAUAAUUUGGUUUUCCCAUCAAGUGUGUUCAAUCUGAUUGGGGAGGGGAAUACAGAUCCUUCUCCAAAUUUUUGAUAGAUCAAGGCAUACAUUUUCAGCAUCCUUGUCCUCACGAUCACGAGCAAAAUGGACGUGCUGAGAGAGAGCAUCGCCAUAUCACAAAGAUGGGUCUUACCAUGCUUGCUCAAUCAGGACUUGACUUCUCUUAUUGGUGGCUAGCUUUUCAAACUGCUGUAUAUGCUAUAAACAGAAUGCCUACACAAGUCAUUGGUGGUAUCUCUCCAUAUGAAUGUCUUUUCCAAAAGGAACCUGAUUAUGUAUUCAUGAAGACAUUUGGAUGUGCUUGUUAUCCCUUGCUUCGGCCAUUCAAUAAUCACAAGCUGAAUUUUAGAAGUGAGAAGUGUACAUUUGUUGGUUAUUCUUUUCAACACAAAGGCUACUUUUGUGAGAAUUCCAAUGGCAGAAUCUUUAUAGCUAGGAAUGUCAUCUUUCAUGAAAAAGAUUUUCUUGCUCUAACUGCUACCAAAAAUACUCAGGUACCUCACUCCUUUAUCACUUCAUUACCUACUGCUAGUUUUUCCACUAGCCCUUUACCACCAGCUACUAAUAUAUCUCCUUCUCAAACUGUUGUUCCCAAUUUAAACUCAAAUACUGUUGCUGAUUCUCUUGAGCACAUAACUGAAACUGAAGUUCUAGCUGCCUGCACUAAAGAACCAACUCUGUGUGCUGAAGUUCCAGCUGCUAAGCUGCCUUGCUCAACCUCCAACUUGCCAUAAUCUCAAACGCCAAUACCUGAACCUAUCGACCAAGUUCUUGAUGAUCAAAACGCCUCUUCAGAAGCUCCUAUAUCUCAGCAAUUGGACAAUUCAGUUCCCAUUUCAGCAAUGCCUCCACCAGCAACAAGAAAUGAACACCAUAUGCAAACAAGAUCCAAGGAUGGUAUCUAUAAACCUAAAGCCUAAAAUGCUACCAAAUAUCUACGAUCUGAGUCUCUCUUACCUAAAGAACCUACUUCCACAAAGAUAGCUCUGAAAGAUCCUCACUGGAGACACUCUAUGCAAUAAGAAUUUGAUGCCCUCAUUCACAAUGAUACUUGGGAAUUAGUUCCUUAUGCUCAACACAUGAACUUAGUAGGAAAUAAAUGGUUUUAUCGUAUCAAGCUCAAAUCUGAUGGAAGUUUGGACAAAUACAAGUCAAGAUUGGUUGCAAAGGGCUACCUCCAAACAUCGGGGAUUGAUUAUGUUGAAACUUUUAGUCCUGUUGUGAAACCGGCCACAGUUCGAAUAGUUUUAACCUUGGUUGUCUCAUUCAAGUGGGAAGUCAAACAACUUGAUGUUAGUAGUGCCUUUCUCUAUGGUACUCUAACUGAAACAGUGCAUAUGCAGCAGCCCGAGGGGUUUAUUGAUGCCACUAAACCAAACCAUGUGUGCAGACUAAAGAAGGCUCUUUACGGCCUCAAACAGGCCCCAAGAGCGCGGAACGAGAAAUUGAAGACCACACUUCUUGCCAAAGGAUUUGUAGCUUCCAAAGAUGACACCUCUCUUUUUCUAUGGCUCGGGCUCAUCACUUAUAAUUCUCCUUGUGUAUGUUGACGAUAUAUUGAUCACAGGUCCAAAUCAGUCACUAAUAUCUCAGUUUCUCCAUGAUUUAAACAAAGUUUUUCUUGUCAAAGACCUUGGAGCAGUUCAUUUCUUCCUUGGUGUAGAGAUACAUCGUACUCGCUCAGGUAUGUACUUAUCCCAAAACAAAUAUGUGGCAGAUUUACUCACUAAGUUGCACAUGGAAGGAGCUAAAUCCAGUCCAAGUCCUACGAGUUCUGCACAUAAGCUUUCCUAACAGAUUGGUGAGCCAUUUUAUGAUCCACACUUGUAUAGAAGCACUCUUGGUGCCCUUCAGUAUCUCACUCUUACUCGCCCUGAUGUUGCCUUCAUCCUCAACAAGAUUUCUCAAUUCAUUCAUGCUCCCACUAACACUCACUGGGAGGCCCGAAAUGCCUGAAAACAGGGGGUUAAUGUGGAGGAGGUUAAUAGAUGUAACGCCCGAACUCCAGGGUCCGUUACGGUGUGCCUUGUAAACAGUGCUAAACUCGCUAAUCGAGUCAUUUGGCCAAAAUCGUGAACUAAGUAUGAUUAGCGGUUUAGGGAUUUAAAAUUUUGAUUAGGAUAAAACGUUUCACUAGAACGUUUAAUAUAUAUAUAUUGAGAUCCCGAAAAUAUAAUUUCAGAGUCUAUUAUAGAAAAUAUUUACAACAGGCUGUUCUAAACGGCAAAACAGGGUUCAACCCUAGUUCCUCUUUAAACCUCGACCGUGGCAGACGAGCAGCUGCAUAUGUACACGUCAUCACCUAAGCUCUCCAACUCAAGGAUGGUCCAGCUUUCAUUUACCUUUACCUGCAUCACAUAGCACCCGUGAGCCGAAGCCCAGCAAGAAAACACAAUAUAACAUGAUAUAAUAUCAACAUUGAUUGUAUUAAUUAUUCAGUUGCAACCGUCCGAACAAAUAGGUGACUAACACAAGAGUCACGAAUGUGGGGACAACACCCUUUAGCCAUGUGAUGAUAGGAUCACCAAGCUAAGAAAAUAAGUGAGCAUCUCACUAACUUUAGCAGGAUAGAUGCAUGGUGAUUGGUCACCAACAUAACCUUCCUCCCGACUCUAGAGUCGUAACUAUGGACAGCGUCCCCUAGCCAUGUGACAAACAGUCACCGGGGCCAUAUGUCCUGGCUAUGAACAUCUGGUCUUAGACCAGGCAAGCGCUUAUAAGUUCUUUGACCUUAGGGCCGGUCCAGCAUUAAUGCCAUAGGGCCAUUCAAUGUUGAUAUCGAUUAGAUCUAAUCUUCAUUUGGCCCGGCGUUCAUGACGCUAUGCCAUUUCUGACUCUUAGGUCAGAAUCCCUGACUAGUCAGUGCCAUAUGGAAGUAAGUCAUGCCACCAAACAUAUGUCACAUAUCCAAUAUCCAUAAACAAGGUAUUCAACAUGCUUACUUAACAAAUAUUAAUACAAUUAGGACCAUGUACAAACCCAGAGGCACAAGCUCUGAACAAUAUCAUAAUCAGUUUUCAAAGCAUGUCCUAUUCACAUGUUUCUCAUGCAUCAUAUGCAUUAUUUUCAACAAUCCAACAUGCACCAAUAAUCGUCAUGCAUGUCACGUUCAAUAAUCCACCAACAUGCAUCGAGAAUAGCCAUGCAUGUCAUACUCAGUAAUCAGCCAACAUGCAUCAAUAACAGCCAUGCAUGUCACAUAUAUACAGGGUGCAGUUUUCUUACCUCAGAUUCGAGCUAGAAUGAUUAAAAGAACGACCCUUGAGAGCGAUCAACUUUUAGUCCUUUAGCGGUCACCUAGUCAUAACCAAAUAUAGGAUAUCAUUAAUAAAAAUGAUCAAUAUAAGUUCCCAAACCAAUAUCUAGCCUCCGGGACAUCAAUCCCCACUUAACCGGGUACUAGGUACAACCACGAGGCCUAAGGCUUGAAUCCCCAAGCUUGAAACACCAUUUUGGGCUAAAAUGACCUUAAGGGCCGCGACCCUCCCCAGCUACGCCGCGGCGCGCCUCCCAGACAGAGACCACCCUCCCUGCCAGACGCCUUGAGCCGCGGCGCACCACAGCCAUGCCGCGGCUCAAUACCCAAUUUUGCCCAGAAAACUCAGCACGCACAUCAGACUUUCCCCUGCGUUUUCCCUUGAAACCAGCCCUUAAAACCUGUCUCAAAUCACAACUUAACACCCAAUUCAACCACCAAACAUAUCUACAACUCACCCUCAUCAACACCCAAAGAAAACAUCACCCAAACCUCUAUUAAUCCAAACUUUCCAUCAAGAAAACAUAAACUGAAAAACUAAAGGAAAACAGAGUAUAAACCAGAAACCUAUGGCUAAACUCACCUUAAAAUCCGAGUUUGAACCUCCUUCAAUGGCUGAACCAAGUCUACAAACCCAGCCCCUUGAUUUCCUAGCUUGAAACCCCACUUUGAGCUCAAAAACUCCAAAGAAGAAAUGGUGAUAGAUGGUGUACGGGUUGAAGAAGAAAACCCCUAUUUUGUCUCUGUUUUUUUCUACAGCCUUAAAGUCAUAUAUAUCCAAUCCCAAAUGACCUAAAUACCCCUAGGUCACUUAAGGUUCCUAAAGCCACCCCAAGGGAAAAAUUGUCCUUUCCAACCUAUUCCGUUAAUUAUAAUUAACGCUCUUCAAUUCCCGCUAUUCUCAAUAUCCUCAAAUACCAAUAAAUCAUAUCCCAUUACCCUUUUAUUCCCGGUAAUGAUCUAGUCAAUAAAAUGACCCCGAGACUCACCCCGAGCCCCGAACUUAAACCCGUUAUGACUAGACCGAACACUUACAUUUCAUGAUCGUCUCAUGCCGAAUAGCUCGAACCAAUCCACCUUAUAAUGUGGCUAUAUUAAUAAUUCACAACCAUGCACCCAAAACACACAAUUACGCCCACAUUGGCCAAAUUACCAAAAUGCCCUCAUAAUUGACAUAUGAACCCAUAUGCAUGCAUUCACCAUCAUAUAAUAAUAUAAUUCACGUAACACAUGCAUAUAAUCAUUAAAUACUAUAAUAAAUCAAUCAUGGCCCUCCCGGCCUCCUAAUCAAGGUCCUAAACCUUAUUAGGAAAUUUGGGGCAUUAUAAUAGAGCACCGCUUCCACUCCCUAUACAUACAUACGAGGGUGAUGGAUUCAAAGCAGGAUUACCACACUCUGCUUUGACACCCCGAUGCCAUUGAGGCCAUCAUGAGGCACUAUUCGAUUGGAGAGAAGAGUCUCAUUCGCCUCUGUCGAGAGUCCGAAAGGGCACACCACAGCGUCAACGGCCUGGGCACCUGGAGCUAGGCCCACCUGAUGGCAGGGGCUACCCUACCCCUCAAACAAUAUUUUGUGAACUUCCUUAAGUUCAUGGGGAUAUACACUUUCAAGCUUUCCCCUAACAACUACAGAGUGCUUGCGGGGAUGUACAUUCUGUAUUGGAAGCAGAAAUGACUCGAGCCUUCGCCGGCGGAGAUACUCUACUUUUACAGCUUUCGCACCACUAUACGGAAGAAGAACACCAAACGGGACGGGUACUAUGCCCUGGCAAAGUACGCGACCUCUUCGCUCGACUAUAAGGCUCCUCACAUAACGAGAAUCAUUAUCGGAAUUACAAGGAUGCCGUCUUCUUCACGAAUGGCUUCCUGAUUCGCAGCAAUAUGACCCUGAUUCUCGACUUCGCCAGAGUUGGUGAGUAUCUUCCCGACCAUGUUAUCUUUCACAUUUUUGGGCCUUUUUGUGUUUGAAACUUAGUCAAUUCCUUUUGAAUAAGUUAUUUCCACUAAACCCACUAUGUUUAACUCUUCAAGGAUCAUCUCCAGGCGAUGAAGGCUCUCCCCGAUUGAGAUUUGGAUCUUAGCGUCUUGGUGUCUGAAUCAAACCUCAUUAGGUCGGGGCUUAUCAACGUGGAACAAAGAAUCAACAACCUAGAGCAGACCAAGUAUCGCCAGUCCACAAACUCUCAGGAGUUGGCGUCCCGUCACAUCAACUACAUAGACGGGCUGGCCCAGAGGGAUUGCAAAAAACUAGCAAAUGGCGGCAACACACAAGGAACUUCUUAAGUCCCCAGAAAGGGGAGUCAGAAAUGCAUUUGUGCAAAAGAGAAAGAAGCGGUUGGCGGAGGAAAGGCUAGAGAACAUGCAUGCUGCGGAAGAAGCUUGAGAAGCCAAGGAGGACCAGGAGCUUGAGGAAGAGCUUCAAGCAGGGAUGGAAGCCUCACACGCUGCUCUAGGUAACCUACAUCUUACCCCAUACCAUGAUCCCCGGGUAGGAAUAGGAUAAGUCCCGAGCACGUUUGGGCCUCUCCAACUCUCCUUCGUUGUGGACAAAUUUCACAUUAGCCGCUGAACUAGGGAAGAAUUCGAAGAUUACAUAGAUUUAAUAGACGUAUAUCUCCACCGCCCGAGGAGACAGUCAGCUCCUCGAGGCUUUAUACCCCUAGAUUGAGUGACGUCUUUCAACUCAAACUGGUUUUUCCAAUAUGGCACCAACAUGAGUUGUGAGGUCAGAAAUAGGAUAAGACACUUUCACUGUUUGCACCGAGGCUUAACUCAUGGUGGGCCUCCGAGUAGACAAUGUUUUGGCAUUAAUUCAUUGUGGGAAAUACACUAUCUGUUUGAUUUGUUCCUCCAGCUCAUAUGGGGUUAACUGACAUUGCCAGGUUCGCCCUGAGGCUUAGGGCACCCCUAAGCUCUUUGGCGGGAGAGGGGUCGUCACACCCUUGGGAGCAUCUAGAACCCCUUCCUUCGGUCAAGAGGCAGAGGUCCUUACUCCCUCUGUGACUAUUCCUGAAGUCGAUCCACCCCCGGUAUUGGAUAUCCCAUCCUCGUCCGGGCCAGAAGAGUCAGUCCAAGACCUAGAGCAAGAGGCGGUUCAAGACUCGAAGUAGGAGGUGGUGCCACCCCAGAUCCAUCUCCUAGUGUAUCUUGAGAACUAUGAGGGGGCCUUGCUGGAGCAAUACGAGAAAAUGCUUCAACAUUUUGAAGCAAGGCUGGUGAAAGGUAACAAGGCUCUGCAUGAAAUAGCCGAGGCCCUUUGCCAACUUAAGCCACCCCGAGAGAGGCCAGCCAUUCCUCCAAUAGGUCGAGCUGAGCUGGAGACUUUAUUCUUCGAGAAGCUAGGGGAAAUUGUUGCCCCUCUCACCGUCGAGAUCCUUCAAGGGGUCAACUCCACUAUGUGCGAGUUGACCACUCAAAGUUUCUCCCAGUUGGGUGACAGUAAUGAGGCCUCCCUCAUGGCCUCGUGUCGGUAUGCUUCUGUCCAGGUAAGCCAAUCAUCCUCACAUUCUAACUCAGCUCAUUAAUGCUUUAAGCUAACCUUUUCCUCUUUCCUUUUGCAGUCCGCUUUGGCUUGCCAACGUUUGGGAGACAUCAUGAUGGAGAAAUCAUAUGAACUUUAUACAUCUCAGGACAAAAUAGCCUCCGUUAAGAAGAAACUUCAAGGCCCUCAAGAAGAGCUCGCCCGAGCUAAGGAAGUCCUUGAAGCCGAGCAAAAACGCUCUCAGGAUCUUGAAGAGGCUGUCCGAAAGGCCAUUGAGGACACGCUGCGGGCCAAGGAGGAAACGAAAACAACCACAAAGAGUAUGCAGCGAGCCCAAGAGGAGGCUAAGAAGGCCAUAGUUGACAUUGCUCGAGUCCUUGAAAACUCCCAAUUUCAGGAGCAGGCCACACCGUCCUAGUCUCAACCAUAAACGAUGCCGACCAAGCUGAACCAGGGGAGAGAAAAGCCCUCCAAGUCAUGGAAAUGAAUAGGUCUUCUCGGUGUCGGGUGGAAAAGUUGGAGAAAGAAAUCGAGACAAUCGCCAAGGAUGCCUUCUACGUGGCCUGGUACCACAACCAAGACAUGAGCUUGGAUUUCACUGGUGAGCCAGAGAAGUAUAGACUUUUCUUCGAAGAGCGUCUCCGAGAAACCCAGGCUGCGAAAGCGGCUUCAGCUGCUGAGGUGACCCAAGUGGCUCAAACAGCCGAGGAGACCCCGUCUACAGAGGCCAUCCAGCCAACCAAGGCGACCUCGACUACUGAAACAGCCCAGGCAGAAGGUGCCUUGAGUACAGACCCGAUCAUUGACCUGGUGGAGAAAAUCCUUGAAAACUGUUCAUAAUUUUUACACUUAGGCCUACGUGCCAUAACUUAUUGGGGUAUAGACAAACAAUCGCUCGAGCCCUUGACCAUAGUUGUAAUUACUUUCCCGUUUAAGAAUUAUGUAGCCUGCCUUGCUUUAUUAUUUGGUUUGGUUAUAUGAAUUCAAUGUAACUUAAUUUCCACGAGAAUAAGCACUCAAAUCUCUUUAAACACUUGGUUUUAUAAAUUCAACGUGGCCCGACUGCCACGAGAACAAGAGCUCACACUUGUUUUAAACAGUUGGUUCUAUAAAUUCAAUGUAACAUGAAUGCCACGAGAACAAGAACUCAAACCAUUUUAUGCCCUUGGUUCUAUAUAUUCAACACAACACGAAUGCCACGAGAACAAGAACUUAAACCGUUUUAUAUACUUGGUUCUAUAAAUUCAUCGUAGCAUGAUUGCCAUGAGAACAAGAACUUAAACCGUUUGAAAGGUGAUUCCAAUAUUUUGUCUCUUGUAGGCUUAUAGUCCUAGAAGUAACUUUAACACAAAAUUUAUUAUUGAUCCUAACUUGGCAUCCUAUGUCCUUGCCAUCCAAAGAUUCAGGCUUUCAGGGGUCCUUGCAUGUGGAACCGCGUGCCCCCCAAGUACGCGAUACUCGGGUAGUCAGUUAAGGACUUCCCCUGCUCCUUGAGUGUAUGUCUCGGAGAUUCCACUUGCCAUUUUAGAUCUCAUAAAUCUUUGGGCUCGAUGUCCUUGGGAGGUGAUGUUAAUAGGGUGUCCAAGUAUACAUGACUUGGGCACCGUUCACAUCUCAGAGAUAGGGAUUUGGUUAUUACUCCUCGGGUGCGCGCUGUCCUCGGAAGGUAACAUGAAUCUCUAAGUUUUCAUUACACUGGGUUUUCUCCAGGUUUUCUAGUUAUGGGAUAUCGGGACACUAGGGGCGCUUCGCUCGUCGACUAGCCAAGCUCCCUAUGUCACAGAUUUCCUAGGGCCCGAGUACGGGGUACUUAGUCUUUCUUUCGCAUCUCAAGACAAAGAGACUUGGUCAUAGCUCCUUGGGCUUGGUGUCCACGGAAGGUGAUAAAGGUCUAUUCUCGCGCUACUUAGGUUAUCUAGCUCCUAGGUGCUAAGCUUUGUUCCGCCUAGAACAAGCUUAGUCUUCUAGGGUAGAGUUGACUAAUUUCCUAGGAUUUUCUAUUCUCGGGAGGGUCACGCUAGGCUUACUCAUCUUGAAAAACUUAGUUUCCUAGGUCGUUCACUGUGAGGCAUAACGCUACCCUAACUCCAUGCCCCCCAAGUGAUCGGAGACUAGUCUGCGAUCACUUGUCCAAGCAAGCGGGUGCUUUUACAUAGCAUUAAUAGAAUAAAGAAAACUAAUAAAUAUAAGCAGACAAUAAGUUUCUUACCGUGUUUUUCAUACACUGUUUCCAUUAAAUAUGCCCAAAGGCUACAAGAGGUAUUACAAAAAUAAAGAAUGUUUACUGCUCAUAGUACUGGUAAUACCAAUGAAGAUGCUCAACAUUCCAGGCAUGAGAAAUCAGCUCUCCACUUAGUCGGGCUAACUUGUAUGUUCCCAGACACACAACGCUCUCGACUUGGUAUGGGCCUUCCCAGUUAGGUCCCAACACUCUUGCACCGGGGUCUCAGGUGGCUAAGAAGACUCUUCGCAACACCAGACUUUCCAUCUUUCACCUUAGAGUUGAAAUAUAAUGCUACCUUCUACUGGUAGGACGCUACUCGAAGCUGAGAAGCUUUGCAAAGUUCCUCCACAAGGUCCAGGGAUUCUCGAAGUAAAGCAUGGUUCGUGGUAGGGUCAUACGUGUCUCGUUGGUGUGUGGAGAUUGCUGCUUCAACUGGGAGCAUAGCCUUAUACCCGUAGGCCAUCGAAAAGGGAGAAUGGCCGGUGGAGGUCCUAGCAGUGGUGCGGUAGCUCCAUAAUGCCCUAGGCAGCUCCUCAGGCCAAGCUUCUUUUGCCUGCCCUAGCCUUUUCUUCAAAGUGGACUUGAGUAUUUUGUUGACUGCUUCCACUUGGUCAUUGGCUUGCGGAUGGGCCAUGGAGGAGAAGCUCUUGAGGACUCCAUACUGUUGACAGAAGUCCGCGAACACUUCACUGUCAAACUGCAAUCUGUUGUCGGAGACUAUAUUCCUCGGGAGCCCGUACCGGCAAAUGAUGUUCUUGAUAACAAAGUCCAAGGCAUUUUUAGAGGUGAUCGAAGCAAGUGGCUUGGCCUUGACCCACUUCAUGAAGUAGUCGACGACUCUAUAGCAUAUUUCACUCCUCCUUUCCUUGUAGGCAAGGACCCAAUAAGGUCGAUGCCCCAGACAGCGAAAGGACAUGAGCUGGUCAUCUGUGUAAGCUCAUUUGGAGGCGCUUGGGGAAUGUUGGCAAAGCGCUGGUACUUGUCGCAUUUCUUGACAUAAUCCAUCACAUCACCAUUCAUGGUGGGCCAAAAGUAUCCUUGCCUUAAUAUUUUUUUGAAAAGGCUUUGCCCCCCAACAUGAUCUCCGCAAAAAACCUUGUGUACUUCUCGGAGAAUCAAACUGGCUUCUUGCUUGGACACACACCAAAGCAAAGGCAUAGAGUAACCUCACCGAUAAAGCCUAUUACCCAUGAUUAUGUACCUCAGUACUUGAUAAAGCAGCUUUUGAGCUGCCUUCUUAUCCUGAGGAAGCUCCCCGGAGAUGAGAUAUUUAACCAUCGACUCCAUCCAGCCAUUUUGGGAGUGUAUAGACGACACCUCAUCUGGAGCUGAGAUACUUGGAGACUCCAAAUAAUCAAUGGGGACCACAUUGAUCAACUCAACAUCUUUGGUUGUGGCCAACAUGCCAGAGCAUCAACUUGGAAUUCUGCUCCCGCGACACCUGCUGAAUAGUGAAUCUUCAGAAGUUAUGCAUCCUUUCUUGAGCCUUUGCCAGGUAUGCUGCCAUCUUUGUUUCCUGAGCCUGGUACUCUCCAAGAACGUGGUUCACAAUGAUUUGGGAAUCGCUAAAGAUCUCGAGGCCCUCGGCCUUGAGCUUUAGUGCCACGCGAAUCCCAGCGAUUAAGGCUUCGUAUUCCGCUUCAUUUUAGAGGCGCUAAACCCAAAGCAGAGGGCACUAUGCACUCUGUGACCCUAAAGGGAAACCAAAAUAAGUCCAGCUCCGACACCAUUUUCGUUCGAAGACCCGUCAAUGAACAAAUUCCAGGCUAGUCCGACCACGAGGGUACCCUUAGUCUUCUCCUGAUUCCCUGUGCAUUUGGUGAUGAAAUCAGCGAGUGCCUAACCUUUAUGGCAGUCCUCGGAUGGUAGGUGAUGUCGAACUGACUUAACUCCAUCGACCACUUCAAGAGUCUUCCCGACGACUUAGGCUUCUGAAGGACUUGUUUGAGGGGAUGGUUUGUGAGGACCUUAAUCAGAUGCGUCUGGAAGUAGGGUCUUAGCUUUAAAGAGGUCACUAUUAAGCAAAAAGUUAACUUUUCCAUCAGUGGGUACCUAAACUCUGCCCCGAGGAGUCUUUUGCUAACAUAAUAGACAGGGUGCUGAACAAGGCUUUCUUCCCUUACCAACGCCGCACUGAUGGCAUCUUCUGAGAGAACCAUGUAGAGAAAGAGAGGCUCUUUGUCUACUAGCUUGGACAGAAUCAAAGGAUUUUCCAUGUGUGCCUUAAGCUAUUGGAACGACUGUUCGCACUCUUUUGGCCAUUCAAAUCUUUGACCUCCUCGGAGGACAUUAAAGAAAGGGAUGCACUUGUUUAUUGCCUUGGAGACAAAACUACUCAAAGAUGCGAUCCUCCCUAUCAGGCUCUGAACUUCUUUAUGUUUUUGAGGAGAUGACAUAUUGAUUAGGGCCUUGAUCUUCUCGGGGUUUGCCUCAAAUCCCCGAGCACUGAUAAUGAAGCCAAGGAACUUACUAGAGGCAUCUCCAAAUGUGCACUUUUGGGGGUUUAAUUUCAUUCUGAACUGGUGGAGCACCGUGAAAACCUUAGUCAAGUCGCCCACAUGGUCAGGGGCGAUCCUGGACUUGACCAACAUGUCGUCUACAUAAGACUCAAUGUUCCGGCCUAACUGGUUCUUGAACGUCUUAUUAACCAGCCUUUGGUAGAUGGCGCUGACAUUUUUCAUCCCAAAAGGCAUCAUGAUGUAACAAUUGACACCCUUAUCAGUUUGAAAGCUAGUGUGCUCCUAAUCCACGAUGUGCAUGGAUAUCUAGUUAUAUCUUGAAUUUACGUCCAUAAAUGACAACAACUCAUAGCCAAAUGUCGCAUCAACCAUCUAGUUUAUCUUGGGGAGUGGGAAGCAGUCCUUCAGACAAGCCUUGUUAAGGUAUGAGAAGUCAAUGCAUGUCAGCUAGGUGUCGUUUAGCUUUGGCACGAGAACAGGAUUGGACAACCACCUGGGGUAUUGGGCUUCUCGAAUAAAUCCAUUGGAGAUGAGCUUGUCCACCUCGGCCUUGAGAGCCUUUUCCCAAGUUUGAUCAAACAUCCACUACUUCUACUGGACGGGAGAAAAAAUAGGAUCGAUAUUCAAGGCGUGUCAUAUGAUGUUCGAAUCAAUGCCAGUCAUGUCGGAAUGUGACCAUGCGAACACGUCUUGAUUUUCUCGGAGGAAACCCACCACUGCCUCUCGGACUUCAGUUUUAUAGCUUCCCCCAACUUUUAUUUUUCUAUUGGGGGUGGAGGUGUCAAGAACUACCUCCUCCACCUCCUCUAUUUGUUCAAUGGACCUCUCAUCUUGAACCCUCAGGUCUAACUCGUUGAGCCUGGUCUCCUGAACAACUUGGACUUCUGAUGCUUCAGGCUUCUCGGGACCUUCCUCUUCCUCGAGGCCUUCCUCCACCACCAUGACGAGAGUUUUGAGGGAGACAUUGUAACACUGUCUCGCCUCUUUCUGGUCUCCACGGACUGUACCAAUUCCUGCCUUUGUGGGGAACUUCAUGCACAAAUGGCAGAUGGAGGUGACAGCUCCGAACUCCACCAGCACAGGUCGUCCCAAGAUGGCGUUGUAUGCCGAGGUAUAAUCCACCACCACAAAGGUGCAGUAUUUGAAGGCCUAGCGAGGCACCUCUCCAAGCAUCACAGGGAGCUUUAUCUGUCCCAUCGGGAUGAGGGCCUCUCCCGAGAAUCCAUAGAGUGUCGAGGCGCAUGGGGACAAGUCUGUCGUGGUCAGCCCUAUCUUCUCAAAGGCUGAUCUAAACAGGAUGUUCACCGAACUCCCGUUGUCUAUUAAAAUCGAUGCCACCAUUUUUUUUGGAGAUUUGACUCUCAAUCACCAACGCGUUGUGAUGCGGGAAAUGCACUCUCCAAGCAUCAUCUUCGGAGAAUGUUAUGACUUGGUCAGUCAUUCAUGGCAUUUGGGCAUGUAACUGGGUGAAGCCAUCACUUCAUCAUUAUGAUUUAAAGCUCGUGCAUACCUAUUCUGUGAGAUUCGUGAGGUGCCACCCAAGUGGGGCCCUCCCGAGAUGGUUCCUACCCGCCCGUUCAUCGGAGGAGGCCCUUGCGCCACGGGAUGUUGGGGAACUACAGGAGCAACUGCGGGGACAUGUGGGGAAACAUGUGGUACCAACGGUCCUACCACGUCAACACUCAUUGGUGUGGUGCCCUAUGUCAUUGAGCUGGAGACACUCAUUGGUGUGGUGCCCUAUGUUGUUGUGGAAAUGACAAAAUUUUCCAAGGUCCCGCCUUUCCCUGUCCCUCCAGAUGGGCUGCAGCUUCCUGUAGUGAACAUGUUGCGCCAUUGCCAUGAAGAUAUUAUCUCAAGAGUCUACCAAGUAAGUGUACGUGGACUACUGUGAGACAUACUUCUCACCAGAUGUGACUCCCUGCUCGUCCUGCGCGGUUCUGCUUCCCUUGGGCUUCCGAACUUUGCCUUUCCCACGCGGCUAUUAUUUCCGGGAGCUCUGAUGGAUUCAGCAGGCUGGAAGGGGACAACAACUCUAACAUUGAAUGCAGGCUGAAAAGCACUGUAUCCAGUGGGCGCUGCCCCAUACCCUGCUGGAGCAAUACUGAAUCCAGAAGCGGGCAUGGGGCUAUAACCGAAAGGCGGGACAUUUUGGCUGGGUUGGACUCCCUCCGAGCUCGAUUGGACAAGAACAAAAGGGGAAUAUUGGAUUCCCGAUGCCACAAGGCCAAGCGCGACCGAAGUAGGGAAAAUGAAGAGUGCUCCGAAUGUCCCAAUCUAGGCAUCCUCCCAGCUGAUAUACUCUUGUGCUCGAUGAAUAAAGUCAUCGAGACAUCGACAUCCUCGCCGUUGGAGAUCAUCCCAAAGCAGGGACCUUGUGCGGAUGCCAGCUUGUAAUUCCAUCAAUUGCUUGCCAUCAUCGACCCUUUUGGUUCUCGUUGCUUCCUGCUUAAAGUGUUUGAUGUAGGCCUUGAGGGUCUCGAAGGGCCCUUGCUUUAUGUUGGCUAAGGCGUUGACCUCAAUGCUUACCUUCUGAACUCUUAUGAAUUGUCUUCAGAAGGUGGAAAAUAACUGAUGCCAUGAUUGAAUGGACCCUGGUCGGAGCUUUUUAAACCAUUCAUCUGCUGGCCCCGUCUGGGUGAUUAGGAACAUAUGACACUUAGCGUCGUCAAAGACACGAUGCACCGACAUUAACUUGUUGAACUUAGACAGGUGGUCCGUGGGAUCCCAGCCACCGUCAUAGGACGGUAUGGAUGGAAUUUUGAAGCCUGGUGGUAGAGGGGCCUCAACAAUGUGAGGAGCGCAUGGCUCUAGUUCUUCGUCUUCCAAGUUAGAUUCGUGGCCAUGUCGCCUGGCCAUCCUGAGAAUUAUAUGCUUCAGACUUUCUAAUUUCACACGGAGCGGGUCAUGAUUCCGGUUAAUGCUUUGAGCUGGGUUAUCUCUUUUUUGAGCGUUGAGAUUAUCCCUGAGGUCUGACAGACCUCUCCCAGUGGGCUCGCACCCUCCUGCCUUAUUGCAUCAUGAGGCGUUGAGGUUGUCUCACAAGUCAGACUGUCCUCGAAGCGCACUAUUACCCUCAGAACGAGCCACUUCAGUCUCUCCAUCGGACUCGAUGUUUUCGUUUACCAAGAUACUAAUGUCGCAUUCUCGAUUUUGCGGGGCAUUCCUCGGGUGGAUCCCUGGACCGUUAUUCUUACAGGGCUUAUUAAGUCUCGUUUGGACAUCAGCUCCAGGGCUCGCGCAAUCCGUAUGGGCAUGUCAGGGUGUAACGCCCCGAACUCCACGGGUGGUGACUACCUGGCGGUGUACUCGGGCCCCUGGGCCAUUACCUUUGCCAGCCUAUUGAGAAACUUGGUGGCCUUCGGUCUCUUAAUGAGCCCUCUUCUGCUUUGAAGCAUGAUUAUCGUUAGCCUUUCCCUUACCACGAUCCUGCGAUGGCAUUACUUUUCCAACUCCUGCUAGGUGCCUGGUGGGCACAGCCAACGAAUCUUGUGCCUCUGCAGCAGGGUGCUCGGAAGGCACUCCAGCUGCAUUAACAGGUGGCACUCCAACAGGGAGCGUAGGUGGCAUGCUAGUUGGGUGCCCAGUUGGUGCACGGCCAUUAGGGUCAACUCGCAACCCCUGGACUAUAAGAGGGGCCUUCAUGACAAGUACAAUCUCCUGUAGGGCGACGAUGUUACCCUCUUAUGCAUCGUACUUUUGUUGUUGGGUGCCCACCUGCUCACGGAGCAUCAUCACCUCCGGCAUCUCCUUCGCAUCCAUGGGCUGAGGAUAUUCUUCCUCAUAGUACCCUUGGUCGAUGCCGUCAUCUUCGUCGUCGUAUUCGAUGUUUUUGUCAUAAUCCUCUACCAUCUCAGGUAUGUCCUGAGGUGGCUGCCAACUGGGUUCCCCUCCUACGACUCCGGUAAGAGGGAGUAUAUCAUCUGUAAUGUUUCUUCAUGUAGUCACCAUAGCUGUAAGUGUUCCAAAUGCUUUCUUCACGCUCUCAAUGAAAGUACCAAAAUGUUGACUGCCUUUUUCACUAUCAACCUUAAAAAGAUAGAUUAAAGAAACAAGCAAUAUAAACACAAGGAUUUUUAUGUGGUUUAGGUUAUAAAAGAACCCUAGUCCACGAGUCUAUGGUAUUAAGAGAAUUGAAAGCUUGUGAUGACAAGCUCCAAUGGUGUAUUUGUUAGGCUAUUCUUAGCCUACUUUCUAAGUGUCUUGAUUUAUGUUUUAUUGUUGUGCUUGCGUGUUUUUGGGAGCAGAUUUACGCUUGUUUUUCUUGAUUUCAGGUUUAAGCACAAGAAUGGUUCAAAUGGAAUGGAAUGUGGAGAACAAGUGCUAAACCAAGCUUAAAAGUGUUCAAUGCAGGAUAUCCAAUUAGGGCCGUGACGCUAGAGUUUGUGCUAUGGUGCUGGUGGCCAUUACAGCCGCGGCGAGGGUCAAAUAUCAAAAUCAAAGUCAAAGUCCUAGAAUCAAUUAGCGCUGGAGUGCAACUUUUUGGGCCGUAGUGCUUGGGUGUAUUUGAGUUGCAGCGAGCCCAUUUUCCAGAAAGUUGAGACAUCCCAAUUUCUGAGUGGCGCCGCGGCGCUGUCGUCCGUACGAUUCAUGAAUUUUCCACUUAGCAUAGAACAUUUUAGGAAUUGGGGCAGAAAAAUUAUUAGGUCAUUGUUUUUAAUUAGAGAAAUCGCAAUUUUUAGAGGGGCAGGCUCUUUUAGAACUAAGAAAACAACAAAGAGAGGAAUGGAGAUCAAGCUUUGGAGCAAUUGUGACAACCCCGAAUCUAGUUUCUCAUAUACUCUUUUUAUUUUUUGAAUUUUACUAUGUCUUUCAUGGAUUUGAUUAUUAACAUUUUAAUGAAGAUUAUGAAUUAAACUCCAAUUUAGGGUCUUUAAUGGAGAUUGUCUGAAGCUUUCUAUGGAUUAAUGCAAUUUCGAUAUUUUUCUUCUA